AACGAACGCUGGCGGCAGGCUUAACACAUGCAAGUCGAACGCAUCGCAAGAUGAGUGGCAGACGGGUGAGUAACGCGUGGGAACAUACCCUUUUCUACGGAAUAGCUCUGGGAAACUGGAAUUAAUACCGUAUACGCCCUACGGGGGAAAGAUUUAUCGGGGAAGGAUUGGCCCGCGUUGGAUUAGCUAGUUGGUGGGGUAAAGGCCUACCAAGGCGACGAUCCAUAGCUGGUCUGAGAGGAUGAUCAGCCACAUUGGGACUGAGACACGGCCCAAACUCCUACGGGAGGCAGCAGUGGGGAAUAUUGGACAAUGGGCGCAAGCCUGAUCCAGCCAUGCCGCGUGAGUGAUGAAGGCCUUAGGGUUGUAAAGCUCUUUCACCGAUGAAGAUAAUGACGGUACCCGCAGAAGAAGCCCCGGCUAACUUCGUGCCAGCCGCCGCAGUAA
rnacentral:rRNA from 1 species